GUGCGUUAUAUGGUUAGUAGUCCGAAUGUUCACGAGAUAAACCUUUCACUAAUGCCCGGCGUUUUAUAUGGUAUUCCUUAUUUAUUUGAUAAUGACACUUGACAUUUUUCUAAGUUAUUAAGGUAGAAUACAUGGUUUAGAAAUUCAUGCUUUAAAAGAAGUAAUUGAAAGAUUAUGUAACUUACACCUCUUGGGUUUGAGGUGUUAGAGACGCUUUGGAGCCGGUUAUGAAAUCUCGGAGCGAGGUAAGUCUCCUGUCUAACUUUGUGAGAGGGAAACUACCCCCUAGGUGAUAUUUAUUAUUAUGUGCAACUAGUUGUGGGUGCUACGUACGCACGAGGUGACGAGAGUCCGUACGUAGCUAUAUCAUGUUAUGUCCGGGUAGACUUAGGAUCUCAUUAUGUAAUAUUUGAACCCAUUUUGCUGGCUUAAUUUAUUGAAGUUAUAAUUGAAAUUGAUUUAGAAGUAAAUAUAUGUACACUAGGUCAAGCCUUAACACUUUGAGUUGUGGGCGAGUUAUUUGAGAAACGGUAAGAGUUAUAUUCAUUUUAUGCUUGUGUGCUAUAUUGUAAAAACGUGUCCCGUAAUUCGAUGACUUCCUUACUUUUCUUAUGGAGCGGGCCGAAUGCCUUGGUAGUAUAUAGAUGCAUCUAUGAAUUAUGCCGCACGUUCCUCGGUAGUGUACACAUUAUUCUGGAUCGGCCGAACGACCUCGGCGAAAUCGUGCGUUAUAUCGUUAGUAGUCCGAAUGUUCACGAGAUAGACCAUUCACUAAUGCCCGGCGUUUUAUAUGGUAUUCCUUAUUUAUUUGAUAAUGACACUUGACAUUUUUCUGAGUUAUUAAGGUAGAAUACAUGGUUUAGAAAUUCAUGCUUUAAAAGAAGUAAUUGAAAGAUUAUGUAACUUACACCUCUUGGGUUUGAGGUGUUAGAGACGCUUUGGAG
rnacentral:lncRNA from 1 species